GACGAACGCUGGCGGCGUGCUUAACACAUGCAAGUCGAACGAAGAGCGAUGGAAGCUUGCUUCUAUCAAUCUUAGUGGCGCACGGGUGAGUAACGCGUAAUCAACCUGUCCUUCAGAGGGGGACAACAGUUGGAAACGACUGCUAAUACCGCAUACGAUCUAAUCUCGGCAUCGAGGAUAGAUGAAAGGUGGCCUCUACAUGUAAGCUAUCGCUGAAGGAGGGGAUUGCGUCUGAUUAGCUAGUUGGAGGGGUAAAGGCCCACCAAGGCGAUGAUCAGUAGCCGGUCUGGGAGGAUGAACGGCCACAUUGGGACUGAGACACGGCCCAGACUCCUACGGGAGGCAGCAGUGGGGAAUCUUCCGCAAUGGACGAAAGUCUGACGGAGCAACGCCGCGUGAGUGAUGACGGCCUUCGGGUUGUAAAGCUCUGUUAAUCGGGACGAAAGGCCUUCUUGCGAAUAGUGAGAAGGAUUGACGGUACCGGAAUAGAAAGCCACGGCUAACUACGUG
rnacentral:rRNA from 1 species